rnacentral:rRNA from 1 species
AGCGAACGCUGGCGGCAUGCCUAACACAUGCAAGUCGCACGGGGGGGCUUCGGCCUCCCAGUGGCGGACGGGUGAGGAACGCGUAGGGACCUGUCGAGGGGUGGGGGAUAACCGCGGGAAACUGCGGCUAAUACCGCAUGACGCCGCGGCGUGACAGCCGGGGCCAAAGGCGAAAGCCGCCCGCCGAGGGGCCUGCGUCCGAUUAGCUGGUUGGCGGGGUAGCGGCCCACCAAGGCGUCGAUCGGUAGCUGGUCUGAGAGGGGGAUCAGCCACACCGGGACUGAGACACGGCCCGGACUCCUACGGGGGGCAGCAGUGGGGAAUAUUGGACAAUGGGCGCAAGCCUGAUACAGCAAUGCCGCGUGGGUGAAGAAGGGGUUCGGAUUGUAAAGCCCUUUCGGCGGGGACGAUGGUGACGGUACCCGCAGAAGAAGCCCCGGCUAACUUCGUG